ACUUGCUCCAAAACCCCCCAAAAAUCCCAAAGUACCCCUAAGUUUAGGUUCUAAUUCAGUUCGGUUUGUAUAACCCAAAUUCAAUUUUCGUUCGUAUUGCAGGACCCGAAAUAGCAUCUCCCAAAAACACUUUUGUCUACUGCUAACUCGCUUGCGUGUUCUUCAUCUUCAUCUUCCUUAGAUUCGGUUUCUAUAGACCGAAAACGCUUCGAUUCGGUUUCUAUCUACCGAAAACCCUUUGAUUCGGUUUCUAUCUACCGAAAAUCCUUCGAUUCGGUUUCUAUCCCUUUGAUUCGGUUUCUAUCUACCGAAAAUCCUUCGAUUCGGUUUCUAUCUUCCGAAAACGCUUUGAUUCGGUUUCUAUCUUCCGAAAACACUUUAGAAGUCCAUGAAUUUGCGAUUUGUUUUCCAUGAAUUUGGGUUUUCCAUUAAUUUAGAGCUUUCUUCAGAAGUCAGAUUGUGAACAUAUUUGGUUUCAGAUCAUGUUACUAUGAACUUCGCCAAAAGUGGAGGAAAUGGGAUCUAGGGUUCAGAAUGUCAAUAAAGGACUUAUGUUACUUUUGUUAUCAACUAUUUGCUCAGAAUUGUUUGUUGUAAUUCUAACUUAUUGUAUUGCUUCAGAAUUUUGUUCAAUUGGAAACAAAGUAUCCGUUUGGAAGUAUGCAUUGGUUUGAAAAGAAGAAGCAUAUAAAUUUUGAGAUAUCAGAGGUUCUUUGUGAACUAGAGUUCACCAUAAAGAGAAUGAAUAUCUCUACUACACCAGAUGGCAUAGUGAUGGAUCUCUUUUCAAUCAAGUGUACAUGGUUAUAGAAUUUUACAGAUGAAGUUUUAUAAUGAACUAGUGUGCCAUCAUGAUAGUUUUCCUUUAUAUCUUGUAAUGUAAAACCAUUUUUUCUUAGCUCAAGAAAUGUGCUUUUAAACUAACUGACCUGCACAAUCUUAUAUACUAAAGGAACUUCUACAUACAAAGAAGAGAAGGGAAAACAAAGUAAGGAUCAUAUUAAUUAUUAGAAGUUACUUACUUUGUUUAUCAUGUCACAAUGACAGGUAUUUCCUAGUGCUUAAAAGGAAUUUGUGGAUUCAAUCAUUUUACAAGUAUGAACUCUCUCUUUUGUGGUCUUGCACUUUUGCUUAAGAUACCAAAUAUUUCUUCCAAUUAUAGUAUAUAAUCAUUGGUCUGAGCUAGAUACCUUUAUAUGCUUUGUUUGAAUGAGCUUGUAUAUUUUCCCUUUCAACUUCGAGUAGCAUAAUGUAACCAUAGUAACAAAAGAGAAGCAAUUGUUAAUGAGAAUCGGAAAUACAAUGUCAGUGUUCACUUUGCAGCUGCAAGGGAGGGAAUUUUAAUUUCAGAUGCUUAUAGUGCCCCUCACCAAAUGAACUCUACAAGUGGAGACACCGAUGAAGAUUGAAGAUAGAAGAUAAAAGAGAUGAAGAUGUGAAGAGAGUAAAUUUGAAAACUUAGUAGACAUGAUAUGAUUUGUUUUUUCUUUCGUAACUUUUGAAAUUGUUAUGAACUUGUAUAUUUUUAAAUAAAUUAUGAUGUUCUUAA